CUGCCAUCUAACCCUGGAAGCCCAGGACGGUGCUGGGCUCACCCACCAGGGUUCCAGGCCUGAGAACAGCCCUGAGAGAUCCCGACAGGUGGCAGGAGCAGCUGGCUGCACUGGGGUGAGUGGGGUCAGAGUCCUCACUGCCUCAGGCUCAGGGUUAGCCCCAAGUGUUUUUUUUCCAGAUAAAAUUUGAUAUAGUUGUCAUCAUCUUACUCUCUCUACAUCCAAAGCCCCUCAGCGUUUGUUUGGGCCAGAGCUGGGGGGAACAGACAUUCUUACAGCACUGGAGUUCCCCCUCCAGAACUAGGGAUAACUUGGCUUAAGGGAACUGGCAUCUUUUCAGCAGCUCCUGGCUCAGGUGCACAACCAGCACACUGAGCGCACGUGUUCGGGGCUUCUCUAGGAACUGGGGUCUGCCCUCUCUUGUCCUCCCCACCACCCUGCUGCCGUGCAGCCGUGUUGCCUACGCAUGCCCAAUUCCCUGAUGUAGACUGAGGCCCUGGGAGAAGGAGUCUGCGGGUGUGGCCAGAACCUCACAGGCCUGAAGCAGGUGUCUCUGCCGCAUCUCUUAGCCAGCCGGGGAGGCUCCUCCGGGCGACUCAUAAACCGCGGCAGAACACCUUGGUCAGCUUUAGACACUCCUGAGCUGCGGCUUUCCCUAACAUCCUGCUGCUAAUGUUCCUCUUUUAUGGUGUUUUAAAGCCAAUUUUCAAAUGUGUGUCAUAAAACCGCUCUGUACAGGAAGUCCUCUCAGUGAUCUGCAGGACAUAAACUUUAAAGGCAAGAUGGAGGUGUGUGGGAUGUCCUGGCGUGCUUUCAUACUUUGCUCAUCUGCAAACAUGUUAGCAAACCAUUAUGGAACAGAAAUCUACCAGAGUCACACCCCAAGGACCCGCAGGGUUUGCGAUGUGAGAGGCACGGGAGACUCAGCUGGGCCGCGUCUGGGAAGGGCUUGCUACCGUUUAAAACAGCCUGGAGACGAACAGGAGAACAGCAGCCGGGCAGCCUUGUUCCGUCUGUGAAGACCUUGCAGUCUGGAAAACGCUUUACUUGGUACCUACAUGUUUCCAUGCCAGCCUCGAACUUUCAGUCUCCUGAAGCAGUCUCCAGAGUAGCUGGGACCACAGGAGUAGCAACCAUCCUGGGCACAUGUGCUCACCAUGGAAGACGGAAUGAGAC